AGUGAACGCUGGCGGUAGGCCUAACACAUGCAAGUCGAACGGCAGCACAGUAAGAGCUUGCUCUUACGGGUGGCGCGUGGCGGACGGGUGAGGAAUACAUCGGAAUCUACUUUUUCGUGGGGGAUAACGUAGGGAAACUUACGCUAAUACCGCAUACGACCUACGGGUGAAAGCAGGGGAUCUUCGGACCUUGCGCGAUUGAAUGAGCCGAUGUCGGCUUAGCUAGUUGGCGGGGUAAAGGCCCACCAAGGCGACGAUCCGUAGCUGGUCUGAGAGGAUGAUCAGCCACACUGGAACUGAGACACGGUCCGGACUCCUACGGGAGGCAGCAGUGGGGAAUAUUGGACAAAGGGCGCAAGCCUGAUCCAGCCAUACCGCGUGGGUGAAGAAGGCCUUCGGGUUGUAAAGCCCUUUUGUUGGGAAAGAAAAGCAGCAGGUUAAUACCCCGCUGUUCUGACGGUACCCAAAGAAUAAGCACCGGCUAACUUCGUG
rnacentral:rRNA from 1 species